AGUGAACGCUGGCGGUAGGCCUAACACAUGCAAGUCGAACGGCAGCACAGUAAGAGCUUGCUCUUACGGGUGGCGAGUGGCGGACGGGUGAGGAAUACAUCGGAAUCUACUUUUUCGUGGGGGAUAACGUAGGGAAACUUACGCUAAUACCGCAUACGACCUACGGGUGAAAGCAGGGGAUCUUCGGACCUUGCGCGAUUGAAUGAGCCGAUGUCGGAUUAGCUAGUUGGCGGGGUAAAGGCCCACCAAGGCGACGAUCCGUAGCUGGUCUGAGAGGAUGAGCAGCCACACUGGAACUGAGACACGGUCCAGACUCCGACGGGAGGCAGCAGUGGGGAAGAUUGGACAAUGGGCGCAAGCCUGAUCCAGCCAUACCGCGUGGGUGAAGAAGGCCUUCGGGUUGUAAAGCCCUUUUGUUGGGAAAGAAAAGCAGCAGGUUAAUACCCCGCUGUUCUGACGGUACCCAAAGAAUAAGCACCGGCUAACUUCGUG
rnacentral:rRNA from 1 species